rnacentral:rRNA from 1 species
UACGGAGUCAACCAUCCAGCGCAAGGCCCAAAAUAAAAACAGGGUGGAGUGAGCCAGAAAAAACUAUGAAGAAACCAUGAAGGAGGGUGGAAGGAGGGUCGGCGCUUUUUGGUUCUUUUUGGGGCGCUAGCUCAGGGCGUGGGCGGGUUGGAGGGCAGGACCUUCUUUUGGAUGCUUUUUUUGGAUGGUUUUUUUUGGUCUUGAGCGUGCGUGCUCGCUCUGACGGGAGAGCUAGGGGAGCUGGAUGCUAGACACUGACGUCUGCGUGGUCUAGCGGCGGCGCCUGGAGCGUCCCUUCUGCGCCUACUCUAGGGUUCGGCGACGAGGAGGAGAGGGCCCUACGUCGGCGGCGGCGGCUUGGUCCCUCUGCGGCCGCUGGUAGCGGCGGCAGCACCUAGUGGUCCUGCGGCGGCGGACGUGGCGGUGGUGGCGCGGAGCCUAUGCAGCGACGCUCCUCCUAGGGACCCUCGCCCUCCUCCAUCCCCAGUCGGCGCAGCUGUCGCCGCUCCACCUCGGGACCCCGACCCUCACCCAUACCCUCCUCCACCCCCGUCGACGCUCGCGUCGCCCCACUCCCCGCAGCUACUCUACGAGGACCACGGAGGGAGGCUCACCCUCCCCCUCUCCCCGCAGUCGCCGCUCGGCCUGCCCCGCUCCCCGCAGCUACUCUACGGGGGCCGCGAAGGGAGGCCCGCCCUCCUCCUCUCCCCGCAGCCGCUGCUCCGCCCACAGCCGCCGUUCUACCAGAGACUGCCCGCACUAUCCGCCCGUCGAAUCCGCACUUCGCACGCAAGUACCUCCAUAAGCGGUCCCGCGAGAAGAUAGGCUGCCACUACGACUUGAUGCCGGCGUCGAACUAGCUCGGGCUCAAGGUGACCACCCUAGCGUAGCUGUUCCUAUAAACCUAUCCCCGUCAAGGAGUGGUUGGUUACAGUAUUAAAUAGUGCAGACGUUUACUAAAAACCUGACAUCAAACCUAACAAGACGGCUCGCAUAUUGUUGCGUACGAUAGAUAGUUUCGAAGCUGAGUAAACAAAACGACGAGGCCUUAUAACUCUGCUCUUCUUACCGGAACUACGACCUCCAAUUACCUAGUGGGACCCUUGCUAAAACUCCCGUAAUACGGUCGAUGAAACUACCGUUACCUAAUACCUUACCGUUUGAUUGUCCGGUGUAGCGUGUUGACCAUAUUUACACAACUAUACAACGUAAAGUUCCGUCAAAGUGAGUAUUUAUGAUGUUUCAAACUUGGUAAAUCGUAAACCCUGGUGCUCCUAAGGCUAACCCUCUUGCUGCAGCAGGUAUCUAAUUACAUACCCUUGUGGCCCGGUUGAGUGAAAUGUCCUGUCCUCCCAACUGGCGACCCGCUACGCGACGUGCUCAUCCGGUCCUCCUUGUUCUCAUCUUCUCCUGACAUCGGACAUCCACUCUCUUCUACUACGGUAACGGUAGAACUGACUUCCAACCCGUAGAUUUCUACGAACCGUUGGUCUUGAGACUUCGAUUUGUGGUGAACUUCCAUGGACCUUUAUGUAAUGAACGACUUCGACGUGUAGGAUGCGGGGUCCUCCUCCGGUUUACGUAUAAGGCUAGUACACAAGAUUUAUGAUUUCGAAGGAACGACCUAGAUUCCAAAUUAAAGAGACGGGGUUACGACCAAGAAUCCCAUUAUGUUCAAGAUGAGGUAUAAAAACUACGGGAGGUGUGUUGACAUACAAGUACAAGGUCUCAGGAAUAAGUAUCAAUUAAAGUUAGUGUUUCACUGUUUACGGUCAGAUAAUCAAUUGUACACAUAGAGGCAAAGAAGAUUCAAAGUUAGCUGGAUGAGACUUCAACAAGGAUUCUGUCACGGAGUUCGUUUCCCUUACUCGGAGUCAAUCACAUAGAUCGCUCAAGCGCUAGGAAACAACCCUAUUUGUAAACACGUUCUCGUUCAGAGCAGUGACAACCAACAAUCAUGAAAACGAACUAUUAAGAUUAAAAAUGAAGUCAAGUAUUCCGUUACAUCAAUACGAACUGCGUGCUAUACUUCUGACGGUAAAACGGAAAACUGGAACCAAAGAAGGAGGUCAUUCAUUUACGUGUAUCAAGAAAAGAUUUAAUCUCGUAUACUGAACAACUAGCUAGAGACUCGAGUCAUUAUUAUAAUUCGGAAUUAGACAAAUGACAUUAGACCUUAUUUUAAUUUAUUUAUUCCUUUGCAAUAUAAGUAUAUAGAAAAAACAUGAAACUACCAAAGUGUGGUGUUCAAGGAUCUACCAUUAACACGACGUAUACAGACGAGAGAAUGAAACAAAAAGACUUGUCCAUCCAAGGCUUUCUACAGUACUUCUUAAAGAAACUCUCUUAAACGCACUCCACACAGAUUUACUAAAAAUAGAAGACUUGUAUAAGAACAUACUGAUUGACUUAAGUAAAAGAGUUUUGCAACCAUGAAAAGGAAAAAGUAAAUACAACGAGCUGACUCAGAGAGAGCCUAGUACAUGUGAGGUGUACGAUCGACUAGACAUCGUCACGCCUUCCACUCGAACCGACGGCCGUUGUCGAGGAAACCGACUAGACGCCACUACGUCUUCAACCCAACCUUUUUUCGUGCUGGCCGACGAGACUUCACCCAGCAUCCCUCUCGAAGCAUUCUCUAUCCCUCCCUCGAGAUAACCGGGCACGUACUGUAGGUUGGGUUACCGUAGUACGGGACCAUCCGUACCAACGUACCGGUGCCCCUCUUACCUCGUUCAUCGCACACUCCUCAAAUUCUUUACCCCUGUUCCCUGUCAAAUCAAUUAAUUCAGAUACAAUCAAAGUUCAAAAUAGGAACAACGCCAUUUUUUAAUUCCAACCUAAUUGGUGGUACAUGUAGAA